GAACGCCGAGCACAUUUACCUGAACUCAAAUGUACUGUGGAUCCAGAGAGAAACGGGAUAUGUUUGGCCUUAAAGGUCAGAGGUCUGGAUUCUGUUGCCUGAACAGGAAGUGGGGGUUGGUAAAAGGAGCUGAGGCCCGUGUUUGGUUUGCAGUAGCUCAUGUCCAGAGAAUGAGGGAACAUGCUGAAUUGUUUUCCCUAGCGUACACGUAGCACUUUCAGACGCUCCCAGCAGAAUACUUAGAAGCUGAUGCUAGAUUCACCGCAGCAGUGCCAGAAACUGCCCUGCUGGCAUGAUGUCACCCACCUGCAUGCUAAAGCGAGAUAAUGUGAGGGGGAAAAAGGGGGAAAACCUAGAAUUAAGAUGCUAAUCCCUGCCCCUUAUGAUGCCCAGAUUAGGAACUCAUUUGUUCAAAAUUUCUGAUCUCAUUGGAGUUGCUCACUUAGAUCUAUUUACUUAUAUAACAUAUACUGACAGGUUUUAGGAUUGAUAUUCAUGUGUAUUCCAAAACUGUAUUACACAUACAUAAUCAUGCAUAUUUGUAUGGGCUAGAUAUAUAUGUUAAUAUAUGAUUGUUCAAAUUUU